GCCAGGCAUGGUGGUGCAUGCCUGUAGUCCCAGCUACUCAGGAGGCUGAGGCAGGAGAAUUGCUUGAACCCAGGAGGCGGAGAUUGCAGUGAGCCGAGAUUGCGCCACUGCACUCCAGCCUGGGUGACAGAGCGAGACUCCGUCUCAA
rnacentral:SRP_RNA from 1 species